UUUGAAGAAGCUGCGUCAAA
rnacentral:siRNA from 1 species